rnacentral:lncRNA from 1 species
GUUUUUUUCAAUUACAAAAAAAAAUAAAAACAGAAACAAAAAUUUCAGCUUGAGGCUCCCUCCUUUGCUUUGACCUCUCUCAGUAAAAGUUGCCAUCCAUUUAGCAGCAAUCCCAUGAGAUCCUGCACAUACCCCCAUAAUUACAGCUAUUACAUCAUCCAGCUAUAAUUUGUUUGCCUGUCUUCCCAGCCUCCUGCUUCAUUUCCCUCUACCCUUAGGGAUGGUGAGACACGGUCUACUCAUCUUUGCUCCCCCAUACCUGGAAUGUUGCUAGACACAAAAGUUCAAAAUAAAUGUGUGGAAGAUCAGUGAUGCAUGAGCAUGUCAAGCUUACCCUGAAUCAACCUGUGAAUGUGGCUCCAGUAAACAACAACAACAACAAACCUUAGUGUUUCUGAGAACCAGCCCUGUGAGGAAUUCCUUCCUCCUCCAAAGUUCUUGAAAUGGAUAGAUGGAGUCAUGUAAGGAACUGUGAUAUUCUGCAAUGGUGCACUAUGUAAGAUCCAGGAAGAUCAAGAUAUGGAACUCUCAGGUCCUUUUCUAAUACAUCUGCCUGCAUGCUGCCAUGGUUCCUGUCAUGAUGAUAAUGGACUAAACCUCUGCACUGAAAGUCUCUGAUCUGCUGGGCCUGGAGGCUGACACUGGCCUGGACCUCUGCCUCUAAUGAAGCCACUGAGAUCACAGGAGCCUAGGAUAACUGCCUAGGUUUAACAAGUAGACAUGGAUGAGAAGAGACACUCAAUCUAACUUCUGAAUAUCAGGG